CCGUUUAAGAUCAAAAUGAGACGAAGGGGCGGGGUUCUCUAGCCAACCGGUUUGGGAUGGUGCUACGGCGCGAAGUGUUUGCGUAGCACGAUUAUGUUUUUGUUGUGCAGGUCAGCUGGAUGUGACUUCGAAGUUUCAGUUUAACAAGGUAGUGGGAAAGCCCCCGGACCGUUUCAGUUUGGCUUCAAGUAGCUCUGCAAGAUCUGAUUCUGCUCAUCGAGUCAGCGGAGGAAAUGCGGACUUUUGUCACUUUUUCUACAGGAUAAAUGGCUGCAGUACACAUACGGUAGCAAGUUGAGACAUGCUCACCCAGGCAAGGUGGUGAUUCUCAGAGGGAAGAAUGCACCAUAAGUGGAUCCAGCUGAUUACUGGCAAUUUGGAGGAAGAUUGUUCUUCAUAUGCUAUGUUGCACUGUCUCUUCUACAGUCACUGACAGAGUCAUUGACCUGUUGUGCUAUCUUUUGAUUUUACUUUACUUUGUUUCCAACCCCACUUUAAUUGAAACAGUGAAAAUCAUAUAGGUGUUUCAAUUUAUUUAGCAUUUCUUCAAUGUUUUCAAUUGAGUAUAUUUCACAGUAAUCUUAAAGCUUAUAUUUUAUGUGAAUUUGAAUAAACAUCUGCUGUUAACCAAUACAGUAGUUUAAAUAUUGAAUGUUGUAUUUCAUUUAAGGUUUGUACUGUCAUUUUACAAAAUCUGAAUCAAUAAAUAUUGUAUUUAUAUUGUAUUUCUACAGGG
rnacentral:lncRNA from 1 species